AUGGCUAAAAGAGCCCCCAGACGCCCUCGUCCCCUGGAUCGAACCCUAGCGCCAUUCCUCCUUCCCCGCGCCACUUUUAUUCUCCCCUGCGCACACCCGAGCACCUCGUCGCCAUGGCCGUCGUCGAUUCACGCGCCCACCGUCGACCUCGGGCCCAAGGACCUUGUCCAGAAGAACCGGCACCGUCUGCUACAUCGCAUAUGCCGACCAGGUCGAGUUGGGAUCCCCAUCAACGAGCGCAUCAUCAUCUUCUUCCUUUGCCCGUCGGCGAUCUCCUUCGAUCCGCUGUCGUUCGUCCACCCCAGCAUCCACGAGCCGUCCACACGACCUCAGGAUGCUGGAAUCCAGGAGCUAUAG
rnacentral:rRNA from 1 species